GGGGGUGAAUAAGGUUUCGACUUAAAAGAUAAGGUAAGGGGUUGCAUGCCGCAAAAGUAAGCCUACUGCGUUAAAGGGGCUUACAAAAAAUAAAAGCAACACCUUUCGUUGCAACACCUGCUUACGCGGUUAGCUAAGUAGGACUCUUUUACUUUUUGCCUCAGAAAGUAAAAGAGUUCAUCAUAAGAGGCUAAAAGUAACCUUUUAGCUUUGGAAGGUUACUUUGAAAAAUAGCAAAGAUGCUCCUUGAAGUAUCCUGCCUUUUGGAGCCUUCAAGGAAAAGAUUAAAAACAAGGAUAAGCAUGUAGGAGCUACUUACCAGCCCUUUAAGGACGCGGGUUCGAUUCCCGCCACCUCCACCA
rnacentral:tmRNA from 1 species